UAUGGGAACCCUGCGCCUCUUUUAUUUCGCGCGCUUUUCGCAACUCGCUUCCCUCACAACUUUGCUCAAAGAAAUAUUCGCUCGACAAAUAAUCCCGUAAAACCUACAAACAUUCAAGACAUGGUAGGGGAAGGAAUGGAGGAAUAUACUGAUAGAGAAUGGACUAGUUGAGCACUAAAUUUCAUCCAAACCUUGUCGAACUGGUAUAAAAUCUUUUCACCGACGAACUGUUGCUCAUCAUUCGGAAAUCAAUAGCACAUUGAAACUUUUACUUAACAAAUUACUGUCACAAACUUCCAAAAAAGAUACCAGAAUCUUGGCAAGACAAUGUCUAAUGACGAAAGGGGAACUAAAAGAUACCAGAAUCUUGGCAAGACAAUGUCUAAUGACGAAAGGAAGGAGAAAAAAGGAAGGAGAAAAUAUUCUGUCUCUAUCAAAACGAGCGUAUCAAGCAAGAAACCAAAAAAAUAUAAACCAGAUAAAGAACGCUUGUUUUAUGUAAAAAAAACUCUGGAUGGGUAGCUAUUUUAGAACACUAGAAAUCAUAGAAAGCAUAAAAUGCA